GGCAGCGUGUCCGAGUGGUUAAGGAGUUAGUAUUGCUUCAGCUUUCUAAUCCUCUCUGAGGGCCUAGGUUCGACUCCUAGCCUGCCU